rnacentral:lncRNA from 1 species
GAGAAGUGAUGACGGUGAUCGUUGUCGCCGCGUCUUCUGUGGAACCCAAGCAGUGCCGAAGGAAGUCGCAAGGCUCUUCCCCGACCUUUUGCUCCUCUCCCUGCGCGAGAGAUCUAGGCUUACAUUGCUGUUAAGCCUCCAACAGCGGCAGCCAGAUGGUGCAGUGUUUUUGAAACAGGCUCUGAUAAAUCCACAAAGAGGACCUUUGAAGCAGCUGCUCACAUCGCAUCCGAAGUCAGAAGCAGCAGAAGAUGCAGUUUGGGACUCCGGCCCAUGGGAUUGUGUUAUCCACGUUUAAAGUGACUCCUCUCUUCUCAACGCAAUCUAGAUGAUCCCUCACAGUCUUGCCCAGAGGCUAACCUAGUAUCUAAGUUUCAAGCUUGAGACCAGUGGUGAGGUGGCUAUAUAACAUCGAAGUGGACCUGGCUCCAGGUUCUCCUGGCAGUUCUCAGUUUCUACCUGCUAAAGGUACAGCAAGAAUACCCUGCCCCUCUACCCCUCAGUAAUGGUAGCAAAAGCCAGGAGCCUUGCAACUGAGAAGUUGCAAGGUAAAAUGUUAUUUACAGCCAGAUCAAAUUUAUAAAAUCACUAUAAUAAAAAGCAGUUUUGGAGAUCCA